rnacentral:lncRNA from 1 species
CCCUGUGGUUUCCAAGUUCCAUUUCAACCAUUCUUCAAAAAUCAUAAUCUACUAGUGGUUCGAUUGUGUUUUUGCGGUUUUCAUCACGAAUCUAGUUCAUACUCUUGAGGCACGAUGUGUACAACAAUAUUGGGUUUCUUAUCUCAUAACAACGCCCCUAGCCCUAGGUGGUCGUUUGGUGUUUCUAUUCAAAAAUUAUCAUCGAUCGUGUUUGUUUGAUUAAUUGAUUAGGUAUUGAAUAUGCCGUAUCCAACAAUGAUAUCCCGGGCAGAGCAACUUGUUAACCUUGAAUAUGUCAGCAAGGAGGUGGGUUGAUGAGAGAGAUUAGGAAGAGUUGCAGAGGGAGUGGUGUGGUGGAAUCUGUUUAGAGGGAGAAUUGAGGGUUUCGGUGGUGGUUAGGUGGAGUUGGGUGGUGACAUGGUGGUUGUAGGUGGUGGUGUUAGGAGGAAGAAGAGGUUGAGGGGUGGUGGUGUUAGGAGGAAGAAAUCGAUUUGAGAAGUCUGGUGGGACGACGCGUGAUUAUAGACGGCAGAACGGUUUGAACUCUCACCGAUUUCUACUUGAGGUCGGAGAUGAAGUUUUCCUCAAAAGCAUUCUAAACUCUACCGAGAUUGUAGCAAGAGGAAGAGUCCAGAGUUUGGACCCAAAUGAUCUAGUUGGUGGUACAGAGAUUGGACCAGAAUGGUGUGAGGUAAACGUUCAAGUACCAAUAAAAAAAAGAUGAAAACUUAGUAAGACCAUAUGGUUUAUUUUCUACAAUUCAAGAUUGUAUUGGUGCAUCCAUCGCAUAGCCCUAUCCAUUCAUCUCGGUAGUCCAUGAGGAUUGAGGACGCAUGAUGACUCAAGAUUUUAUGCUUCUUAUUUCUUUAAUUGCUUUUAGUUUAUUUGUUAAAUGCUAAGACUUUAUGUUAGAUAAUGUUAUAACUUAUUUAUGGUCGGUGUUUUUGUUAUGAACAUGCUUAUUUGAAAUAUUGUGAAGUUUUAUUUCUU